AACGUAGGUGGCGAGCGUUAUCCGGAUUUACUGGGCGUAAAGGGUGUGCAGGCUGCCCUUCAAGUGGUGUAUGAAAGCACCCGGCUCAACCGGGUCAUGGUAUGCCAGACUGAAGGGCUAGAGAGCGAGAGCGGGACGUGGAAUUCCGGGUGUGAGUGGUGAAAUGCGUAGAGAUCCGGAGGAACCCCAGAGGCGAAGGCGGCGUCCUGGCUCGCAUCUGACGCUCAGACACGACAGCAUGGGGAGCGAACGGG
rnacentral:rRNA from 1 species